rnacentral:lncRNA from 1 species
CUACCAUUUUUUUAUGGCCUACAUGUACAUGCAAAUUUUGUAAGUUAGAUAUAAGUACUGGAACUAACAGAAGUUAAAUAGAUGGAAAUAUUGGUAGUUUUCAACCAGAUGGCAAUGGUUUUAUUACUUUCUUUUAAGAAAAACCAAGGAGUAGUAAGUUUGUGAGAGCAUUUUGGACUUCAGAAAUCAAACAGGAAUUAAAGACAUUUUGAAGAGUUGUAAAACCAGCAAAUAGACGAGCAAAAUCUUUUUUUCAUAAGGUCAUCUUCACCUGCCUACACAUACAAAUAUAAUCAAACUGCACUGUUCUCUAAGGAACUGAAUGGCAACAAACAUGGUAAGCAUCCAAUUCCGGUUCACAGUAACCGGAGCAUGUUUACUGGUGUAACAUGGAGAUGACAGAAUGAAGAUAAGUCCCUGGAGGCUAUUCUUGAAGCUGGUGUGUGAUUGUGUGCAUGUGCACAUUCAUGUGCACGUCAGUGUGUGUCUGAGUGUAAAUAAGCAUACUUCCUGUGGACCGAGUCCAGCAGCUUUCGUGAGAUUCACAAGGAGAUCUGUGACUGACCUGCUCCUCUCCAAAGUGCACUGCCUUCAAAGGUUCAUAAAAGCAACCUCUGUGGAACAGGCUGCUUAUGCAUGAUUUCACUGUUCAGCAGCCAUGAAUGAACAUGAGUGCCAAUGUGAGGUCUUGAUCUUGCUCAGCUUGGCUAUUAAAAUCUCACUGGGCAGAGGCGUGGUUGAUUGUCAGGAGUGGGAGCCCUGCAUUAAGUAGCCAGGUUUGGUCCUAUGCCCUGGUCCUUUAAGCUGUGCCACCUUAGGCAAGGUAUCCUAACUUCCCUGUGGCUCAGCUUUCCUCUUACAAUAUUACUCAACUUAAAACUAUGUUGUAUUUAUAUAUAUUUAUAGGGUUAUCUACAUACCAGCAUCCAUAAAAUGAAAGACUAAUAAAUCUGAUUACACAAAAACUGAAAUCACUGCAGGACUAUUGUGAUCAUAGAAAAAUGCCAUAAAGUGGUAUAUUUAUUUUAUAAAUAAUCCAUCAGGGUAGAGAGAGAAAAGUGGUGUAGGGAUGGGUACUAAUAAACUAAGUUGUGUAAAUAUUCAUAAUGUUAGGUAUUUAGACACAAUAAUUGAUUCUGUUUUUAUAUGUUUGAAAUUUUCUGAAAACUAAAAAACAUUAAAAUGCUUUAGAUAAUAUCAGAAGAAUAAUGACAAAUCAAGAAAAAAAUUUUAAGUUACAUAACACUUAAGAGGCUCAUUUCCUAAUAUAUAAAGAAGCCGUAAUAAAUCAAUUAGAAAACAUCAACAAAG